rnacentral:siRNA from 1 species
AUGACUGUGGACAGUGUGCUUCUC